AGAGUUUGAUCCUGGCUCAGGACGAACGCUGGCGGCGUGCCUAAUACAUGCAAGUCGAGCGGACCGAACGAGAGCUUGCUCUUGUUCGGUCAGCGGCGGACGGGUGAGUAACACGUGGGCAACCUGCCCGCAAGACCGGGAUAACUCCGGGAAACCGGAGCUAAUACCGGAUAACACCAAAGACCGCAUGGUCUUUGGUUGAAAGGCGGCUUCGGCUGUCACUUGCGGAUGGGCCCGCGGCGCAUUAGCUAGUUGGUGAGGUAACGGCUCACCAAGGCGACGAUGCGUAGCCGGCCUGAGAGGGUGACCGGCCACACUGGGACUGAGACACGGCCCAGACUCCUACGGGAGGCAGCAGUAGGGAAUCUUCCGCAAUGGACGAAAGUCUGACGGAGCGACGCCGCGUGAGCGAAGAAGGCCUUCGGGUCGUAAAGCUCUGUUGUGAGGGACGAAGGAGCGCCG
rnacentral:rRNA from 1 species